rnacentral:rRNA from 1 species
UUAAGCGACUAAGCGUACACGGUGGAUGCCCUGGCAGUCAGAGGCGAUGAAGGACGUGCUAAUCUGCGAUAAGCGUCGGUGAGGUGAUAUGAACCGUUAUAACCGGCGAUUUCCGAAUGGGGAAACCCAGUGUGUUUCGACACACUAUCAUUAACUGAAUCCAUAGGUUAAUGAGGCGAACCGGGGGAACUGAAACAUCUAAGUACCCCGAGGAAAAGAAAUCAACCGAGAUUCCCCCAGUAGCGGCGAGCGAACGGGGAGCAGCCCAGAGCCUGAAUCAGUGUGUGUGUUAGUGGAAGCGUCUGGAAAGGCGCGCGAUACAGGGUGACAGCCCCGUACACAAAAAUGCACAUGCUGUGAGCUCGAUGAGUAGGGCGGGACACGUGGUAUCCUGUCUGAAUAUGGGGGACCAUCCUCCAAGGCUAAAUACUCCUGACUGACCGAUAGUGAACCAGUACCGUGAGGGAAAGGCGAAAAGAACCCCGGCGAGGGGAGUGAAAAAGAACCUGAAACCGUGUACGUACAAGCAGUGGGAGCCUCUUAAUGGGGUGACUGCGUACCUUUUGUAUAAUGGGUCAGCGACUUAUAUUCUGUAGCAAGGUUAACCGAAUAGGGGAGCCGAAGGGAAACCGAGUCUUAACUGGGCGUUAAGUUGCAGGGUAUAGACCCGAAACCCGGUGAUCUAGCCAUGGGCAGGUUGAAGGUUGGGUAACACUAACUGGAGGACCGAACCGACUAAUGUUGAAAAAUUAGCGGAUGACUUGUGGCUGGGGGUGAAAGGCCAAUCAAACCGGGAGAUAGCUGGUUCUCCCCGAAAGCUAUUUAGGUAGCGCCUCGUGAAUUCAUCUCCGGGGGUAGAGCACUGUUUCGGCAAGGGGGUCAUCCCGACUUACCAACCCGAUGCAAACUGCGAAUACCGGAGAAUGUUAUCACGGGAGACACACGGCGGGUGCUAACGUCCGUCGUGAAGAGGGAAACAACCCAGACCGCCAGCUAAGGUCCCAAAGUCAUGGUUAAGUGGGAAACGAUGUGGGAAGGCCCAGACAGCCAGGAUGUUGGCUUAGAAGCAGCCAUCAUUUAAAGAAAGCGUAAUAGCUCACUGGUCGAGUCGGCCUGCGCGGAAGAUGUAACGGGGCUAAACCAUGCACCGAAGCUGCGGCAGCGACGCUUAUGCGUUGUUGGGUAGGGGAGCGUUCUGUAAGCCUGUGAAGGUGUACUGUGAGGUAUGCUGGAGGUAUCAGAAGUGCGAAUGCUGACAUAAGUAACGAUAAAGCGGGUGAAAAGCCCGCUCGCCGGAAGACCAAGGGUUCCUGUCCAACGUUAAUCGGGGCAGGGUGAGUCGACCCCUAAGGCGAGGCCGAAAGGCGUAGUCGAUGGGAAACAGGUUAAUAUUCCUGUACUUGGUGUUACUGCGAAGGGGGGACGGAGAAGGCUAUGUUGGCCGGGCGACGGUUGUCCCGGUUUAAGCGUGUAGGCUGGUUUUCCAGGCAAAUCCGGAAAAUCAAGGCUGAGGCGUGAUGACGAGGCACUACGGUGCUGAAGCAACAAAUGCCCUGCUUCCAGGAAAAGCCUCUAAGCAUCAGGUAACAUCAAAUCGUACCCCAAACCGACACAGGUGGUCAGGUAGAGAAUACCAAGGCGCUUGAGAGAACUCGGGUGAAGGAACUAGGCAAAAUGGUGCCGUAACUUCGGGAGAAGGCACGCUGAUAUGUAGGUGAAGUCCCUCGCGGAUGGAGCUGAAAUCAGUCGAAGAUACCAGCUGGCUGCAACUGUUUAUUAAAAACACAGCACUGUGCAAACACGAAAGUGGACGUAUACGGUGUGACGCCUGCCCGGUGCCGGAAGGUUAAUUGAUGGGGUUAGCGGUAACGCGAAGCUCUUGAUCGAAGCCCCGGUAAACGGCGGCCGUAACUAUAACGGUCCUAAGGUAGCGAAAUUCCUUGUCGGGUAAGUUCCGACCUGCACGAAUGGCGUAAUGAUGGCCAGGCUGUCUCCACCCGAGACUCAGUGAAAUUGAACUCGCUGUGAAGAUGCAGUGUACCCGCGGCAAGACGGAAAGACCCCGUGAACCUUUACUAUAGCUUGACACUGAACAUUGAGCCUUGAUGUGUAGGAUAGGUGGGAGGCUUUGAAGUGUGGACGCCAGUCUGCAUGGAGCCGGCCUUGAAAUACCACCCUUUAAUGUUUGAUGUUCUAACGUUGGCCCCUGACCGGGGUUGCGGACAGUGUCUGGUGGGUAGUUUGACUGGGGCGGUCUCCUCCUAAAGAGUAACGGAGGAGCACGAAGGUUGGCUAAUCCUGGUCGGACAUCAGGAGGUUAGUGCAAUGGCAUAAGCCAGCUUGACUGCGAGCGUGACGGCGCGAGCAGGUGCGAAAGCAGGUCAUAGUGAUCCGGUGGUUCUGAAUGGAAGGGCCAUCGCUCAACGGAUAAAAGGUACUCCGGGGAUAACAGGCUGAUACCGCCCAAGAGUUCAUAUCGACGGCGGUGUUUGGCACCUCGAUGUCGGCUCAUCACAUCCUGGGGCUGAAGUAGGUCCCAAGGGUAUGGCUGUUCGCCAUUUAAAGUGGUACGCGAGCUGGGUUUAGAACGUCGUGAGACAGUUCGGUCCCUAUCUGCCGUGGGCGCUGGAGAACUGAGGGGGGCUGCUCCUAGUACGAGAGGACCGGAGUGGACGCAUCACUGGUGUUCGGGUUGUCAUGCCAAUGGCACUGCCCGGUAGCUAAAUGCGGAAGAGAUAAGUGCUGAAAGCAUCUAAGCACGAAACUUGCCCCGAGAUGAGUUCUCCCUGACUCCUUGAGAGUCCUGAAGGAACGUUGAAGACGACGACGUUGAUAGGCCGGGUGUGUAAGCGCAGCGAUGCGUUGAGCUAACCGGUACUAAUGAACCGUGAGGCUUAACCU